UACGGAGGGUGCGAGCGUUAUUCGGAAUUAUUGGGCGUAAAGAGUGUGUAGGCGGCCGGUUAAGUCAGGUGUGAAAGCCCGGGGCUCAACCUCGGAAGUGCACUUGAAACUGGUCGGCUUGAGUUCGGGAGAGGGAAGCAGAAUUCCUGGUGUAGAGGUGAAAUUCGUAGAUAUCAGGAGGAACAUCGGUGGCGAAGGCGGCUUCCUGGACCGAAACUGACGCUGAGACACGAAAGCGUGGGGAGCAAACAGG
rnacentral:rRNA from 1 species